AUAUAUAUAUAUUCGCAGCGGUCACAACACCAUCAGCUGGGGUUUCCCGAGGCCAGAGAAUAGCUAUCGAUUAACCUAUUAGGAUAGUUGCAGAGAAAUAAAAAGGACGUAAAAUAACAGGGAACCUAUAAACAAAGACGCCAUAACUGGCUGUUGGAGUUGUUAAACGACUUAGCACAGAAAAAGUCGGAAAUGAGCUGGAAAUGGAGCAGGCAUUGGCAGCAGCCUUGGUAUAGACAAACUCUCCAAGACUUAACUUCUGUAGAAAUCUGCGCCAAAGAAGAGGCGAGGAUGGGUCCAAGGCACGUGAAGUCCAAGGAAUGUCAGCUAUGGCAUUAGGACACACAGAUGGACUAUUAUCGCCAUUAUACAACUCUCCCAUCUAUUCCAGUAGCUCUUUGCGUGUGGACUUCAAUGCUACUCCGAGUCGGGCGGCUACAGGAUGGGGGCGGGGAGCGAGCGGGGAGAGCAGUGAUUAUCCUGAGAGGUCUGGCAUCUCUAUGUUUUUUGUUUCCAGUUGAUCUUGGGGUUACACCUGACCCUAAAACGCAUGCCUGAGUUGAUUUCUGCGGCUGCACCACUUGAGAAAAAAAAAAAAAACCGUCCACUCUGCUGACUAGACAGUCUUCUCGGGAAACCGAGCUACCAGCUGGAGCUGGCUGCCUAGCACUCUAGGCAAGAGGUCACAGUAGCGACUGCUCAAGCAACUCAAAGGAAGGUGGGGAGGAAAAGAAAACUCGAUCCAAAUUUACAAAUUUAGGAAAGCCUUUCGCCCAAGUUGGAUCGCCAGGUGGUAUUGGCGCGCAAGGUUCAGAGUGGACCCGACCGCGGUCUUGAUGGCCGAGCCUCUAGCGGAUGCUUGUACGCGCGCGAGAACCCUGGCUUCAAGGCUGCUCUCACGGCUGCUUUUUUAGUUAGUCUCCAAAUGAGCCUAAUUUCGAUUUCCUGGCUAGCCUGAACUGACUCAGGAGACUUUGUCCGCCACACUGACGGCUACCUCUCCCCCUCCGCCAAGGCCGGAUCUGGGCGGUCCAUUCCCGUGUAUCUCCUUGGAACCUCUCUGGGGAAGGGGGUGGUGAACAACUCCCAGCUGCCGGUUCCAUUUGUUGCGCCUUUUUCCUUCGACACAAUAAAAGUCAAAUUAAUUGA